UUUGUAUCAUCCCAAGAAAGCAAAACUCCAUCAGUAGUUCAAAGGAAGAGAAGCAAACAUUUUAUUUUGGUUUUUCCUUUUCUUUUUUCCAAACCCACAGGUUGGGAAUCACAAGCCUUUAACAACCAAACAGGAGGUUCACCGCGGCAACUGAAACAUCUGUUGACCUGUUUGAGAAAACAUUCUUUUGUUUACUGUAAGUACAAAGCUACAUUUAACAAUGAAUGCUAACUUUGUUUGUUUGUUCACGUUACGUUUGAGAACUGCCAACAGCAUGCUAGCUUGUGGCAACAAUGGUGCUAGCAAUGUUAGCCAUGACUGUUUCUGUUGUAACGAUCUCAAAUCAGCGACAUGAAUUCUCAGGUUACAUUAGUUAACCAAAAACAGGACAAAACAUUCAUUAAAUAUUAGAAAACCACAUCGUCUCAAGUCAUUUCAAACGGUAACUAAUCUGAGUUUGACCAUCAAAACGACA